GUCCCCAGUCCAAAUUUACAACAACCUCUACCACAAACCUGCAGGCUUCCAAUUCUCUUAUUCUAUGCAACAACUACAAUAUGGAGAUGAUAACACUCACAUGCCUUUUGGGGUUGCAAGGAUUGUACCACUGUAUAUGUGAAGCUCUUUUUAGGACUUGAAAGCUCUAUAUGAAGGCUAAUUAAUAUUAGUAUUGCAGUAACAGCCCCUCACCCUAUUUCUGAGUAGUUCCUGCCUAAUGCCCUCUGCCAGUUCAUGUGCAUUCUGCUCCUGGGAAUGUGGAGUUAAACUAUGCAACUUGCUCCCACAGGAAAUGCAGUGAUGGCCACCAACUUGGUUGGCUUUAAAAGAGGAUUAGACAAAUUGGUGGAGGAGAUGGCUAUCAAUGGCUAUGCUCUGCCUCCACGGUUGGAUGCAGCAAUACUUCUGAAUGCCAGUUACUGGGAACCACAGGAGGGGAGAGGGCUCAUGUGCUCAGGUCCCCGCUUUCGAGUUUACCACUCAGGCAUCUGGUUGGCCACUGUGAGAACCAGACUAGAUGACCCAAUAAAGCAGGCACUUCUUGUGUUUUUCUGAGUUCAAAUCGUGAGAAGGUUGCUUAUAAAAGGUAGCACAACCCAACGGAAGACCAUCCAUCAGUCAUGUGUGAUGGUCAGGGAGAUGCUUGACAACCCACCCGUUUGUGUAUCAGAACCAGGAGUACAUGGAGCCCCUGGUGGGUGUCCACACAUGGGCUGAUGGGAUGUGCUCAGCCUGGUAACUCACAGGUUCUGCAGGCCCCUUGCCAUAGCAUUGUGGACUGCAAUAAUGGGGGAGCCUGCUCACCCCCCCACCUGCUGAAAUUUUGCCUUCUCUGCAAUUCUGAAAGGGGUGGGGACCAUCUCAGCUUCUAGGCCUGGAGACCUGCUGGAUAGUAAUGCCUUCGUGGAAUUUGACAUCUGGUGUCAAAUUUCCCAUGUAACUCCAUCUGUUCCCCCACCUACCCUUUAAACAAACUCUUGGGGCUGCAUUUGGCAAACUCAGAGCAGAAAAGGACUGAGGGGGACUUGUGGGACUGGGCUUUAGCUGUAUGGGUCCCAUUUCUUGGCUCCCUCCUUCCCAGCCUGUAAAUCUCUGGACCCUUCCUGUGUUCCCUCAUCCCAUGCUCGAGAAUUCCAAAUACUUUGUGGUUGCAACGCUGACUCCUAGAAUCCAACGAUCAAGUGCAUGGAACUGCCCGUGGUUUGCAUUAGGAAUUCAGGCUGGUGGGUUUGGGUUUCUAAAUCGGACAUCCUUAAUGCAGAAUUUGGAUUUGUUUGGUGCAGAGUGUGAGUGGCCCUUCAUUUAACUGAGCUGAUACCGAUGUGAUGAGAGGGGGCCGGGCGAGGCUCAGGGGGCCACAGCUGCCUCUGACAGGUAUCAUUUACAAACAGCACGGCAACCGUUCAGUCAACCUUUUGUAAUAAUAAAACAGAGUUUAUACUAAA